CCUACGGGAGGCAGCAGUAGGGAAUCUUCGGCAAUGGGGGGAACCCUGACCGAGCAACGCCGCGUGAGUGAAGAAGGUUUUCGGAUCGUAAAGCUCUGUUGUAAGAGAAGAACGUGUGUGAGAGUGGAAAGUUCACACAGCGACGGUAACUUACCAGAAAGGGACGGCUAACUACGUGCCAGCAGCCGCGGUAAU
rnacentral:rRNA from 1 species